CUAAGGUAGCAUAAUUGCUUGUCUGUUAAUUGCAGAAUUGUUUGAAUGGGGUUGAAUAGGGUAGUUGGUGAGGUUUGCUAUCAGAAGUUGCAGUCUCGGUUACGAUGCUGCGGGGUGUGGUUUGGGACGACAAGACCCUAAGAGCUUAGCUUUAGUUGGUAGGAGUUUCGAUGGGGUAUUGGGCUGUUGUGUAUAGUUUUUGAUUGAGUUGAAAGCUUCCUUAGGGAUAACAGGAAGAUAGUGCUUUGGAGUGCAUAUCGAAGGCAGCUGUUUUUUAC
rnacentral:rRNA from 1 species